rnacentral:rRNA from 1 species
CCUCAAAUAAUGUGUGACUACCCC